rnacentral:lncRNA from 1 species
GGACUCUUACACAACAAGCCCCAGCCGCCAAGUAAGCAGUUUGGGCUUUCUCCCCCUGUCGUCUGAGCGCUCCCUACCCUGAUCUUUGCCUUAUUUAACAUGACGUUCAGCCACUGCCACUGUCACCCGGCAUGGCAUGCUUCUCAAGGAGCAGUUUUCUUCCCAGGCUGCUGGCUUGUGUCAUCUCUGAAAGUGAAGGAUCCUGCUAACUUCAGCUGCUCAGUGUCAGACACGGGGGUGCCGUAUAAACAGUUUUCCCCUUUAUUAGGCAUUGAGUAAAACUAGGCUGGCCACAGGACAUUUCUAAAAAAUUAAUAAACACGGAGCAAGGGCCAACAGCCCCGCAAGGAUCCGUGAUGAACAGAAGCUGGGUUCAUUCCUCUCCGCCGGAUGCAUCGCUGCUCGCUGACCUCAUUUGGAGCCUGCACAGGCGCACGGGAGUCCCACCCUGCACGGCCCCACCCCACCCCAUCUGAAGUUGUCUUGUGAGAUCUGGCUCCCCUGGGACACAAACUGGAACAGUAAAGGCUGUUCUCUCCCCAUCAUUUCCUCUCUUAACCAUCUUGUCUGUAAAAUCCAUAAGCCAGGAGUUCCCAUUGUGGUUCAGCCGUAACAAACCGACUGGUAUCCAUGAGGAUGCAGGUUCAAUCCCUGGCCUCACUCAGUGGAUUAAGGAUCUGGCAUUGCUGUGAGCUGUGGUGCAGGCUGGCAGCUGCAGCUCCAAUUCAACCCCUAGCCUGGGAACUUACAUAUGCUGCAGGAUUAGCCCCCAAAAGCAAAACAAACAAAACCAAAAACCCCAUAAGCCAAACACCUUUUACCUGAGCCCUGAGCCUUAGAUGGGGUCUAUCUGUUGGGGGUCCUCACAGAGCCUCCUCUGCCUGGCAUUGGCUAUCACCUGGAGGUCUGAUUCUGAUUCUGGCACAAACCUCGUUCAUGUUCUUAAACAUUCCCGAGGAAAGAUUCCCCUGGGAAAGUUGAGAGUCUCAUGCUUAUCCUUCGGUCCAUCCGCUGCUGUGGUGGCCACACAGAGAGGGAGGGUCCGUGAUGAGGGAAUCACGCAGCCUCAAAGGGCAGGCAGGUCUGGGAGACUAGCGCCGACAGCCCUUCUCAUGGGUACAGCCCACCGGUCGAGAGGAUGGCGGAGCCGCCGUCCUGCUGCCAUCGGCUGAGGGUGCUGACCUGCUUCCAGUUAAGCCACCUGGUUUCCCAGGGAACCCUCUGGAAUUGAGGAUCUGUGUGAGGUUCUUCCCCAGUCAGGUGACCUGAGGCAAGGAGCACUCUCGCCUUUAAGAAACAAAUGGCUGUCAGCAGUCAGACCCUGCAGGGCGGUGGUAGAAAAGCUGAAGCCAAGCUGAAGCCGUCCAAGAGAAAUAACAUCAGGCCUCCAAGGAGAAGACGGGUGGAGGAGACAUCUACUGCCUUGUAACCUGAGAGGCACAGUCUUUCGCUGGGUCCCAGGUCUCACCUGAAUCCAGAUCCUCCUGCCAAGAAGACUGUUCUCUUAGAGUUCCUGUUGUGGCUCAGUGGGUUAAGAACCCAACACAGUGUCCAUGAGGAUGUGGAUUUGAUCCUUGGCCUCGCUCAGUGGGUUAAGGAUCCAGCGUUGCCACGAGCUGUGGUGUAGGUCACAGAUAUGUAGCUCUGAUUUGACCCCUAGCCUGGGAACUUCCAUAUGCCUCGGGUUCAGCCCCCCAAAAAAAAGAAAAGGAAAGGAAAAGAAUCUUCUCUUUCAAAAGGACAAUAUGAAUGUUUUACAUAACUGCACAUCACAGCAUGUAGUUUUUGGUUUUUGUUUUAGGCUGAACCCGUGGGCAUGCUGAAGUUCCUGGGCCAGGGACUGAAUCCAUGCCACAGCAGUGACUGGAGCCACAGCAGUGACAACAUCGCAUCCUUAACCUGCUGCACCACCAGGGAACUCUACAGCAUGUAGUUUGAAAAACCCUGGUGACCUAGUGGUUACAGGUCCAGCGUUGUCACUGCUGUGGCACAAGCUCCAUCCCCAGUCCAGGAACUUCUGCAUGCCAUGGGCGUGGCCAAAAAAAGGCCAAUUAUGAUGUUAGGAUGUACGUUUUGUUUCCCAGUGGAUUUCAGUUAGUUAGUAUGUAAUGAAACGUUCACCUUUGGGGAUGCCCUGGGACAUGUGUGGAGGAGAAAUAGAGCCGAGCAGGGAGACCUGCGUAGAAUCCUGGCUCUCACACUGGUCAGCGGGGGACCUGGGGCACGUCCUUCGACCUCUCCAUGCUCCUGGGUCUCCUCUGUAAGAAGGAAGGUAAAAGAACCCCACCUCGCCUUCCCUGUGGGUGUCAGGACUAAAGAAGUCACAUGUGUGUACUGCACAGCACCACACCUGGCACCCGCGCGACACUCAAAAUCACAUCUGACAGUGUCAUUUGCUGAUGGCGCUCCAAGCACCGCUAAGAGCUUUCCAAGGGUGAUGUCACUCAGGCCUCACAACAGGAAUAAAAGACGGGCACAGCCAUCCUUCCCCUUUCACAGAGGCGGAAAGUGAGCCCUGAUGAGAUUAAGCUGCUUGCCUGAAGGCACAGGCGGGACAGGGAGGAGCUGGAAUUUGAAGCUGCGGGCAGUGGGCCUCCAGGGCCUGUGCACAGAGGCCUCAUCUGCUGCGUCAAAGUGGGUUAAGGUUCCAGUGUUGUCACUCUAGUGGCUCAGGUCACUGCUGUGGCACAAGUUCAAGCAAUCCCUGACCUGGGAACUUCCACAUGCCAAGGGCAUGGAGAAAAAAAAAAAAAAAAAAAAAA